AUUGAACGCUGGCGGCAGGCCUAACACAUGCAAGUCGAACGGUAACAGGAAGCAGCUUGCUGCUUCGCUGACGAGUGGCGGACGGGUGAGUAAUGUCUGGGAAGCUGCCUGAUGGAGGGGGAUAACUACUGGAAACGGUAGCUAAUACCGCAUAAUGUCGCAAGACCAAAGAGGGGGACCUUCGGGCCUCUUGCCAUCGGAUGGGCCCAGAUGGGAUUCGCUUGUUGGUGGGGUAACGGCUCACCAAGGCGACGAUCCCUAGCUGGUCUGAGAGGAUGACCAGCCACACUGGGACUGAGACACGGUCCAGACUCCUACGGGAGGCAGCAGUGGGGAAUAUUGCACAAUGGGCGCAAGCCUGAUGCAGCCAUGCCGCGUGUAUGAAGAAGGCCUUCGGGUUGUAAAGUACUUUCAGCGGGGAGGAAGGGAGUAAAGUUAAUACCUUUGCUCAUUGACGUUACCCGCAGAAGAAGCACCGGCUAACUCCGUG
rnacentral:rRNA from 1 species